rnacentral:rRNA from 1 species
CCUACGGGUGGCAGCAGUGGGGAAUAUUGGACAAUGGGCGAAAGCCUGAUCCAGCCAUGCCGCGUGUGUGAAGAAGGCCUUCGGGUUGUAAAGCACUUUCAGUGGGGAAGAAAGCCUUGGGGCUAAUACCCUCGAGGAAGGACAUCACCCACAGAAGAAGCACCGGCUAACUCCGUGCCAGCAGCCGCGGUAAUACGGAGGGUGCGAGCGUUAAUCGGAAUUACUGGGCGUAAAGCGCGCGUAGGCGGUCUGAUAAGCCGGUUGUGAAAGCCCCGGGCUCAACCUGGGAACGGCAUCCGGAACUGUCAGGCUAGGGUGCAGGAGAGGAAGGUAGAAUUCCCGGUGUAGCGGUGAAAUGCGUAGAGAUCGGGAGGAAUACCAGUGGCGAAGGCGGCCUUCUGGACUGACACUGACGCUGAGGUGCGAAAGCGUGGGUAGCAAACAGGAUUAGAUACCCUAGUAGUC